rnacentral:ncRNA from 1 species
UAAUCUWUAUAUAUAWAUGUUAUCUAUGUUCACCUCUUUUUAAAAYUGUAAGUUUUAUUCUUGUUUAUUCUUAUUAAAUAUUAAAAUCAAUUAUAUGUUUUAUUUUAAAAAAUUUUGUUUCAGUAAAAAGUAUUAUUAUUUAAUAUUAUUAUUAAUAAGGAAUUUAAUAAUAUUAGAUCAAUAUUGUGCCAGCAUUCGCGGUUAUACAAUUUAUUUAAUUUAAUAUCUUUUAAGUUUUAAAUUUUUAUUAUUUGUAUUUAAAAUUUAUUAAUUUAGGUGGAAUUUAUUUUUAUAYRUUAAAUUCUUCUUAUUUUUUAUUACAUUUAAAUUAUAAACUAGGAUUAGAUACCCUAUUAUUUUAAAUUUAAUAUUUAGCUUGAAUAUUAUCAGUUAUUAUCUGCAAAACUCAAAGAAUUUGGCGGUAAUUUAUUUUUUUAGAGGAAUUUGGUUUAUAAUUGAUAAUCCACGAUAAAUUAAACUUUAUUUUUAUUUAUAUACCUCUAUAAUUAGGAAUGUUUUAAUAGUAUAUUUUCUUUAUUUAUUUAUAAAAUUAUAUUAGGUCAAGGUGUAGUUUUUAUAAAGAAAAUAUGAAUUACUUUAAUUAUAAAUUUUUUUGGAAAUAYUUAAUCAAAUUAAUUUUAAAAUAGAAUUUAAUAGUAAAUUUAAAUUAUUAUUUAUUUUGAAUUAUACACUAAAUUAUGUACAUAUUGCCCGUCACUCUCAUUUAAUUUGAGAUAAGUCGUAACAAAGUAAUUUUACUGGAAAGUAAAGUUAGAAAGU